rnacentral:rRNA from 1 species
CCUGUGAGGGUUGCUGGAGGUAUCAGAAGUGCGAAUGCUGACAUAAGUAACGAUAAAGCGGGUGAAAAGCCCGCUCGCCGGAAGACCAAGGGUUCCUGUCCAACGUUAAUCGGGGCAGGGUGAGUCGACCCCUAAGGCGAGGCCGAAAGGCGUAGUCGAUGGGAAACGGGUUAAUAUUCCCGUACUUGGUGUUACUGCGAAGGGGGGNNNNNNNNNNNNNNNNNNNNGGGGGGACGGAGAAGGCUAUGUUGGCCGGGCGACGGUUGUCCCGGUUUAAGCGUGUAGGUGUGUGUUCCAGGUAAAUCCGGUUCACUUUAACACUGAGGCGUGACGACGAGGCACUACGGUGCUGAAGCAACAAAUGCCCUGCUUCCAGGAAAAGCCUCUAAGCAUCAGGUAACAUCAAAUCGUACCCCAAACCGACACAGGUGGUCAGGUAGAGAAUACCAAGGCGCUUGAGAGAACUCGGGUGAAGGAACUAGGCAAAAUGGUGCCGUAACUUCGGGAGAAGGCACGCUGACACGUAGGUGAAGUGAUUUACUCAUGGAGCUGAAGUCAGUCGAAGAUACCAGCUGGCUGCAACUGUUUAUUAAAAACACAGCACUGUGCAAACACGAAAGUGGACGUAUACGGUGUGACGCCUGCCCGGUGCCGGAAGGUUAAUUGAUGGGGUCAGCGCAAGCGAAGCUCCUGAUCGAAGCCCCGGUAAACGGCGGCCGUAACUAUAACGGUCCUAAGGUAGCGAAAUUCCUUGUCGGGUAAGUUCCGACCUGCACGAAUGGCGUAAUGAUGGCCAGGCUGUCUCCACCCGAGACUCAGUGAAAUUGAACUCGCUGUGAAGAUGCAGUGUACCCGCGGCAAGACGGAAAGACCCCGUGAACCUUUACUAUAGCUUGACACUGAACAUUGAGCCUUGAUGUGUAGGAUAGGUGGGAGGCUUUGAAGUGUGGACGCCAGUCUGCAUGGAGCCGACCUUGAAAUACCACCCUUUAAUGUUUGAUGUUCUAACGUGGACCCGUUACCCGGGUUGCGGACAGUGUCUGGUGGGUAGUUUGACUGGGGCGGUCUCCUCCUAAAGAGUAACGGAGGAGCACGAAGGUUGGCUAAUCCUGGUCGGACAUCAGGAGGUUAGUGCAAUGGCAUAAGCCAGCUUGACUGCGAGCGUGACGGCGCGAGCAGGUGCGAAAGCAGGUCAUAGUGAUCCGGUGGUUCUGAAUGGAAGGGCCAUCGCUCAACGGAUAAAAGGUACUCCGGGGAUAACAGGCUGAUACCGCCCAAGAGUUCAUAUCGACGGCGGUGUUUGGCACCUCGAUGUCGGCUCAUCACAUCCUGGGGCUGAAGUAGGUCCCAAGGGUAUGGCUGUUCGCCAUUUAAAGUGGUACGCGAGCUGGGUUUAGAACGUCGUGAGACAGUUCGGUCCCUAUCUGCCGUGGGCGCUGGAGAACUGAGGGGGGCUGCUCCUAGUACGAGAGGACCGGAGUGGACGCAUCACUGGUGUUCGGGUUGUCAUGCCAAUGGCACUGCCCGGUAGCUAAAUGCGGAAGAGAUAAGUGCUGAAAGCAUCUAAGCACGAAACUUGCCCCGAGAUGAGUUCUCCCUGAGACUUUAGGUCUCCUGAAGGAACGUUGAAGACGACGACGUUGAUAGGCCGGGUGUGUAAGCGCAGCGAUGCGUUGAGCUAACCGGUACUAAUGAACCGUGAGGCUUAACCUUACAACGCCGAAGAUGUUUUGGCGGAUGAGAGACGAUUUUCAGCACUGAUUCNNNNNNNNNNNNNNNNNNNNGCGGAUGAGAGACGAUUUUCAGCACUGAUUCAGAUUACAUCAGAACGUAAAAACGGUCUGAUAACAGAAUUUGCCUGGCGGCAGUAGCGCGGUGGUCCCACCUGANNNNNNNNNNNNNNNNNNNNUAGCGCGGUGGUCCCACCUGACCCCAUGCCGAACUCAGAAGUGAAACGCCGUAGCGCCGAUGGUAGUGUGGGGUCUCCCCAUGCGAGAGUAGGGAACUGCCAGGCAUCAAAU